GGGAAAGACGAUUGGGAAACAGCUCAAAUAGUAUUCAAGACAUUCCAACCCCACCUUGGAACUCCCAGAGAGAUGCAAAAAAAGAAGGUCAUGUGGAUAUGCCAUAUGGCAGAGGAAUAAACCAGUGAGAUCCAGCUGAACUAUUCAAAUGACACUGAAGGACUGAAGAUUCUCAAGGAUGCAGGGUUUUGAAGAUGUUCACAAAUCAAUAUAAAGAAAUAGA
rnacentral:lncRNA from 1 species